UGGGGAAUUUUGGACAAUGGGGGAAACCCUGAUCCAGCCAUCCCGCGUGUGCGAUGAAGGCCUUCGGGUUGUAAAGCACUUUUGGCAGGAAAGAAACGUCAUGGGUUAAUACCCCGUGAAACUGACGGUACCUGCAGAAUAAGCACCGGCUAACUACGUGCCAGCAGCCGCGGUAAUACGUAGGGUGCAAGCGUUAAUCGGAAUUACUGGGCGUAAAGCGUGCGCAGGCGGUUCGGAAAGAAAGAUGUGAAAUCCCAGGGCUCAACUUUGGAACUGCAUUUUUAACUACCGGGCUAGAGGGUGUCAGAGGGAGGUGGAAUUCCGCGUGUAGGAGUGAAAUGCGUAGAUAUGCGGAGGAACACCGAUGGCGAAGGCAGCCUCCUGGGAUAACACUGACGCUCAUGCACGAAAGCGUGGGGAGCAAACAGG
rnacentral:rRNA from 1 species